rnacentral:rRNA from 1 species
AACGGACGCUGGCGGCAGGCUUAACACAUGCAAGUCGAACGCAUCGCAAGAUGAGUGGCAGACGGGUGAGUAACGCGUGGGAACAUACCCUUUUCUACGGAAUAGCUCUGGGAAACUGGAAUUAAUACCGUAUACGCCCUACGGGGGAAAGAUUUAUCGGGGAAGGAUUGGCCCGCGUUGGAUUAGCUAGUUGGUGGGGUAAAGGCCUACCAAGGCGACGAUCCAUAGCUGGUCUGAGAGGAUGAUCAGCCACAUUGGGACUGAGACACGGCCCAAACUCCUACGCGAGGCAGCAGUGGGGAAUAUUGGACAAUGGGCGCAAGCCUGAUCCAGCCAUGCCGCGUGAGUGAUGAAGGCCUUAGGGUUGUAAAGCUCUUUCACCGAUGAAGAUAAUGACGGUAGUCGGAGAAGAAGCCCCGGCUAACUUCGUGCCAGCCGCCGCAGUAACAC